CCUACGGGUGGCAGCAGUGGGGAAUAUUGCACAAUGGGGGAAACCCUGAUGCAGCGACGCCGCGUGAGUGAAGAAGGACUUCGUUAUGUAAAGCUCUAUUAGCAGGGAAGAAAAUGACGGUACCUGAGUAAGAAGCCCCGGCUAACUACGGGCCAGCAGCCGCGGUAAUACGCAGGGGGCAAGCGUUAUCCGGAUUUACUGGGUGUAAAGGGAGCGUAGACGGGAUGGCAAGUCUGGAGUGAAAUGCCGCAGCUUAACUGCGGAACUGCUUUUGAAACUGGCGAACUCGAGUGCGGGAGAGGUAGGCGGAAUUCCUAGUGUAGCGGUGAAAUGCGUAGAUAUUAGGAGGAACACCGGUGGCGAAGGCGGCUUACUGGACCGUAACUGACGUUGAGGCUCGAAAGCGUGGGGAGCAAACAGGAUUAGAUACCCGAGUAGUC
rnacentral:rRNA from 1 species